UCAAGAGCACGCUCCAAAGCCGUAUCCCCACGUAGACCUUUUUUAUGCAUGAUAUUUUUGCUGGGAGGUGAUUUGAUGCCCAUCCAGUUACGUUCUCUUUCUUCCAACCUUCAGACCAGAACUCAUCUUCCUCUAUCCUCCCCCUCUGCCCAAACCAACCGUGCCCCUCCUGAACUUCCCCCUCCGAUUAGUCGCAGCUGGCCGAUGUCCCUGCGCCGAAGUGGUACUGGGGUGAGGGAGAAGUCAGGCCGGAGGGACGAGCGAGUUUCUAGGUACAUGUUUUAGUUGCUGUUUUUUGGGAUUUGAAGGAGGAGCAGUUGCGUGUCGAGAGGCAGCGACGAGCUUCCUUUUUCUCUGCCGAUUUGAGCCCCUGCUGACUGGAGCAUGGCGGAAGGUCGAUGGGCUAGGCGGGUAGCAGGGGCACAGACUGAACUUGAAGCUCAAGAUCUAGUGGCCCCUCCCUAUCAUGUUUCCACAUCUACAUAUUGCAAAACCUUUGAAAAUUUGGAUGUAGCACGGGCUCGGCAGUGGAUACUAGGUUUGGUUUUAUUGUUUCUGUGAAAGAUUCUCGAGCUAAGCUAAUUUGAUUAGUUGUAUAUGUGAUGGAUUUUUCACCUUGUUUGCUUGAUGCCAUUUUAAUUGAUCUAUAUCGUAUCGAUCAAUGAGCUUCAAGCCUUUUGGGCGCAGGCUUCAGUAUUUUCUUUUAUGGAUCCUGGACAAAUUAAUAUUUUGCCAUUUCAUUACAGAUUGAGCAGCAAUUUGUCUUUGAUAAGUUGAGGCACGCACGAGGUUGUCCUUGUUUUUUUCUUCGAUCUGGUUUUCCUUCACCCCUUUUCUCUAAUCUUGAUUUUUCCUGUGUUUCUGAUCUAGAUUCCUUGUUCAUUUUCUUUGCAUCGCGGAGAACAUGAACAAUCGUACAGCAGUUGUCUAGAAUUGUCAAUGUUUUUUUUUCCAGUGAUUAAAACUAUCUACCUUUAUUUGGUUAACCUCAUAAUACGAUUAGUUUAACCCGUUUAACAUCUGCUACUAGUUGUUUAUACUCAGUAGUACAAGAAUUACAUUUCGAUCCUUACAAGCCAAGAAAACUAUACCUGAAUAUGUGACCCUUUCGUGUCUGCUUCUAGUAUCUGCCCCAUAUUCUUUUCAAUUUUCAUGUAUGUGUAAUAAAUUGAGUGAUUCAGCUCUGUUUUACGGAUUGAUGAUGAUAUUCAAAAUAUGUGUCAUGUACAUGAGCAAGAAUUGCUGAUCAUGAACAUGAGAAGAACUUUCCAACCGAUCUCUGCCUCGUAGCUUGAAUGGCCUAGCAACAACUUGCUGGAAGGGAGCCUCCUUUCGGAGCUUGCCGAGCACGAGAGCCUCAUGUUGCUCGACCUCCGGAGCCUCACCGGAGGGCUAUCGUAGUUUGUGCAGUGCAUGGCAUCGCCGAAGGACCUGCAGCCAACAACCCGCUCAGAGGGAGCGUAAUGCGCUCCGGCCAGGAGAAGAUGGCGAGCCUGGCCAGGUUGGACAUGUCCAAUGUCAGGCUGGACCUGUCCAAUGUCAGGCUGGUUGGGAGCAUCUGGAGUCCAUGGCGGCGAUGCCCAGGCUGCGGUUCAACCACAACCACAUCUCUGGUGCCAUUUCGGCCACGCUCCUCAUCUUGAUGCCGAGGCAUCUACAUCUUGUAGUUUCUCCCUCUUACGCGUGAUCUUUUUCUCUUCGUGAUGUUUUCGCCAUAGAUGCUAGCUGUACCUUAGUACACAAGUUCACAUGUUUCAAUUCAUGUACGCAACUUCUACUUGUUAUUGCCUAUUCGCACCAUUCUUAUAUGUACAUUCUUAUGCCGACAGAAUUUACAGCACUAGUUUCUU